ensembl:lncRNA
UUGUCAUAAGUCACGCAUUUAGUUGUGUGCAGUAUUAGAUUAGUAUUAGAUUAUCUCGAAAUCUUCCACUUUACAUAUAAAAAUAAUAAAUAAAUAAAAAGCUAACCUGUUGAGUACAAUAUGAUGAUGAAUUAAGCUAUAACAAAAAUUAAUAUUUUUAAGGGUCUCAUUGAUAUAAAGGUGCUAUUGUGAUGUUUUGUGUCCAUGUGGACAAGAGUGUCUGUGUGAAUGAAUGAAUGAAUGAAUGAGCUUACCUCUGGUGUGUUGGUGUGCAUAUUGAGAAACUCAAGCAGGAAUCUCCCUUUUAUAGCCGUGGAUGAUUGACUCAUUGCCCCAGUGAUUCACCCUGCGCCGGUCUAGUCUGGUUUGCCCUUACCGUCCUCCAUAGGCUUAAAGCCUGUUGGAAGACCCCUUCCACAUGUUCUAGUCCAAGACACCGGAGCUGCAGGAACUGUGACAUUUCAGCAUAGGUGUUGAGCAGUAGUUGAUAGUGAUCCGUGACCAGGAUUUAUACAGUGAACACACUCAGAAGAACUGGACAAACUGAGGAGGAGUUUCAAAAUCUGGAAAAGCAGUUGGAAAAUGAGGAGAUCCAGGCAACAAUGGUGUCAAAGUUGUGCAGAUUUGAAGGAAGAAACCUCAAAGUCAGUGCCAGAAGGAUGCUAGACAGGUUUUGAAGGUGGGUGGUCUGCUGCAGGAGGAGGCAUUUGAAAAGACUGGACUGUUCUCGGUUAUUAAAGAACCUCAUCCUUGCCUGCAUACAGUAAUCCUCCAGGGCUCUCCGUGCACAGCUGAACACUUGAUGUGUGAGUCAAGUCAACCCUGUGUAAUACACACUUUGCCCUGAGUAACACA